AUUUAAUAGCCUCUAAGCUAAAAUGAGGCGCAUUCAGGAGUGCCGUCCCUCGUGGCUAGUCAUGGCCUGGGAAACAUUACGGCUCCAUCCCGGUUUGCUUAAGGAGCAAGAGUUGGCGUUCAAGAUACCAGGAGUUUGAAAUGGAAAAAACUGGCCGCGCUGCUCAAGCUGGGAUGAUGUAAUCUGCCUUCUAGGGCGAGGAACAGAGGGCCGAGGAUCACCUGGGCGUUGGGAGCACCUCCCGCCAAGUGGAAGCCUCGGUGCUGUGCUCUACAUGGAGAACCAGCUCCAGAACUUUAGCCACCUUUCGGAGUAAGGACGGCCCAAGAGCACUAUACGGAAGCGGGACCCUUCCCUUCGGCCGGAAUUGAACCACCAGCGUCCCAAACUGAAGGAUAGUGAAGCCAACCCCAACCCCAAGCUGCCUCUUCCUUGACUAUCAUUUCUUAUGGCUAACACCCUUUCUUCCCUCUCCUCAGCCUCAGAGUCUGUCUGUGUCGCAACCAAGAUUCCUGACUGACACAUUUGUUUCUGGUAGAACUCCUACGGUGACCCCAACUUUGCCUGACAUUCCCACCACGUCCAUUUUUCCUGUCCCAUCUCACGCUGGCGUUGCCACUUGGAGCUGCCAUACCUCUGCUCAAACCUGGCCCCUGUCUGCCAGUCUCUCUCCCAAGGCCACUGUAAUUUUGAGCCCUCUUCCCCGUGUCCCCACUGCCUCCCUCUAGCCCCGGUCCUAAGGCUCAGGCACCCUGGGCUCCCACCCAUCCAGAGGCCUGAGCAGCUGGGCAGUCAUCCUAACCCUGUUACGAUGUCAGCACUAGACUUAGUGCCGACAAGGGAGAGACUCCUCAGGUGCUAGAAGGGAGGGUCACUGGGAGGAAAGAGGGGCACAGGCAGAGAUGGGACAGUAGCAGAGACAUUGCCAAUUUUUAUAUUUUAUCUAAUAACACGGUUGUCAUUUACUGAGUUCCUGCAUUGUUCUGGCCCUAUAUAUGCAUGACCUUACACUAAUACUUUGAAGUUGAGACUAUCGUAAUCCCCACUUUCAGAGGAGGAAACAAGAGCUUUGGGAUUUGUUUUUUUCCCCCCCUUUUCUUUUUUUCUGAAACAAGUGUUUAAAGAAGUAAAGAGGUAGCGAUCUCUUAUGACUCCGUGGAUUGGUUGGUGUUGUCACUUGUCACUGCAGUGGCUCAGGUCACAGCUAUGGUGCAGGUUCAGUCUCUGGCCUGGGAACUUCCACAAGCCACAGUUGUGCCGCCUUUCCGCCACCCCCCCCCCCAAAAAAAGGAAGAAGCAGUAAAGGCGGAUAGAAUGAGAUGAUGCCUGGGAUCUCUUUUCAAAUAAUUGGAGGAAUGGGAGAUGAGUAGGAUGUCGAUGAGACAAGAUUGCCUGUGGGCUGUUUAAGCUGGAUAACAAAUAUAUGGAAAUUCAUGAUACUGUUACAUCUAAUUGGUUUGUAUUUGGAUUUUUCCAUAAUUCAAAGUAUGUUUUUUCUUUUAAGUUAAGAAACUCAAUCAAACUCAUACCAAUAGUAUGUGAUAAAGUUAGGUUUUGACUGCAGGCCCUGCUUACUUCAGCACCUUCAGUUACUUACUCACUUAACCUCUACACUGCAUUG
rnacentral:lncRNA from 1 species